UGAAGAGUUUGAUCAUGGCUCAGAUUGAACGCUGGCGGCAGGCCUAACACAUGCAAGUCGAACGGUAACAGGAAGCAGCUUGCUGCUUCGCUGACGAGUGGCGGACGGGUGAGUAAUGUCUGGGAAACUGCCUGAUGGAGGGGGAUAACUACUGGAAACGGUGGCUAAUACCGCAUAACGUCGCAAGACCAAAGAGGGGGACCUUCGGGCCUCUUGCCAUCAGAUGUGCCCAGAUGGGAUUAGCUAGUUGGUGAGGUAACGGCUCACCAAGGCGACGAUCCCUAGCUGGUCUGAGAGGAUGACCAGCCACACUGGAACUGAGACACGGUCCAGACUCCUACGGGAGGCAGCAGUGGGGAAUAUUGCACAAUGGGCGCAAGCCUGAUGCAGCCAUGCCGCGUGUAUGAAGAAGGCCUUCGGGUUGUAAAGUACUUUCAGCGGGGAGGAAGGUGUUGUGGUUAAUAACCGCAGCAAUUGACGUUACCCGCAGAAGAAGCACCGGCUAACUCCGUGCCAGCAGCCGCGGUAAUACGGAGGGUGCAAGCGUUAAUCGGAAUUACUGGGCGUAAAGCGCACGCAGGCGGUCUGUCAAGUCGGAUGUGAAAUCCCCGGGCUCAACCUGGGAACUGCAUUCGAAACUGGCAGGCUUGAGUCUUGUAGAGGGGGGUAGAAUUCCAGGUGUAGCGGUGAAAUGCGUAGAGAUCUGGAGGAAUACCGGUGGCGAAGGCGGCCCCCUGGACAAAGACUGACGCUCAGGUGCGAAAGCGUGGGGAGCAAACAGGAUUAGAUACCCUGGUAGUCCACGCCGUAAACGAUGUCUACUUGGAGGUUGUGCCCUUGAGGCGUGGCUUCCGGAGCUAACGCGUUAAGUAGACCGCCUGGGGAGUACGGCCGCAAGGUUAAAACUCAAAUGAAUUGACGGGGGCCCGCACAAGCGGUGGAGCAUGUGGUUUAAUUCGAUGCAACGCGAAGAACCUUACCUGGUCUUGACAUCCACGGAAGUUUUCAGAGAUGAGAAUGUGCCUUCGGGAACCGUGAGACAGGUGCUGCAUGGCUGUCGUCAGCUCGUGUUGUGAAAUGUUGGGUUAAGUCCCGCAACGAGCGCAACCCUUAUCCUUUGUUGCCAGCGAUUAGGUCGGGAACUCAAAGGAGACUGCCAGUGAUAAACUGGAGGAAGGUGGGGAU
rnacentral:rRNA from 1 species